UCAAAUUUAAUCAUAGUAGAUCAUUAGUGAUGAUUUAUUUAUAUAGGUUGAAUGAAAAGGAAAAAAAAUUAAAUUAUUAAUAUUACAAAAAUAAUACAUUUACUUUUUAAAUUAAACACUUAUUAAAUACGAUGAAUAAAAAUAUAAAGACGAAUACUUACUUUAAAAUGAGAGUAAAAAAUAAGAUUAAGAAUAAAAAAAAUAAAAAAUAUAUAUCUAAAACUCGUUACAACAAAUUGAUUUGAUUGUUGUUAAUAAACAUUUCAGCCUAAAAUUAAAACCAACCACGUUAGUACUAGCCAUGAUCUGUACUUAACAAGAAAAAAAAUGGUAUAUUUAUAAAAAUAUUCAAAUCCUAACCCCUUAUUUUCUUCUUUUAUCACCCUCCGUCUUCUUUCCCCUUCUCAACGGUGAAUGGGGUUUUGAGAUAUCUAUCUAGGGUGUUGUCUGGAAAUGGAAGAUGCUGAAGAGCGUUUACAUAAACCUCCCGAAAGAUUGGCCCUGAACAUCAACAACAAAGACGAUGUCACAGAAGGUACUGAUUUACCUCGCGAGAUACUGAUCCACAUACUAAUCAGACUCCCAGUAAGAGACCUCUGCAAGUUCAGGAUGGCUGAGAAUUACUUACUUCUGAAUCAAAGACCAGAUUGAAAAGGAGAAAGCUCAGGGCGUGGAUUUGUCAGUUUAUGGCUCUUCCAAGGUGGUGGGAACCCAAGCCCCUGUCCAACUUGGAUCACUUUGUGCUGCUGAUGGCAAGGAAUGAAUUGGAUGGAUGCCGGUCAGUUCUUCUGGUUGCAGUCAAUGAAGGUUGUUCUUUUAUUAGUAUAUGUUUCCAUUAGUGAUAUGUCUACUAUAUUACAUGGGAAGUAGGAAGAUAUAUGGAUAUGUAAAAUAAUUUGUUUUGGAGCUACUAUUUCAGUAAUCUAUUAUAUAUUACCUGUGAUGCAUGCAAGGAAAA